UGCCAGCCGCCGCGGUAAUACGGAAGGUCCUAGCGUUGUUCGGAAUUACUGGGCGUAAAGAGUAUGUAGGCGGAACAGAAAGUUAGAAGUGAAAUCCCUGGGCUCAACCUAGGAAUUGCUUUUAAAACUUCUGUUCUUGAAUUCAGGAGAGGAUAGUGGAAUUUCCAGUGUAGAGGUGAAAUUCGUAGAUAUUGGAAGGAACACCAGUGGCGAAGGCGGCUAUCUGGACUGACAUUGACGCUGAGAUACGAAGGCAUGGGUAGCAAACGGGAUUAGAUA
rnacentral:rRNA from 1 species